rnacentral:rRNA from 1 species
GCGCAGUGACAGGUGGUGCAUGGCUGUCGUCAGCUCGUGUCGUGAGAUGUUGGGUUAAGUCCCGCAACGAGCGCAACCCACGUCGUUAGUUGCCAGCAUUGAGUUGGGCACUCUAGCGAGACCGCCGGUGAUAAACCGGAGGAAGGUGUGGAUGACGUCAAGUCAUCAUGCCCCUUACAUCCUGGGCUACACACGUACUACAAUGCUACGGACAAAGGGCAGCAAACUCGCGAGAGCUAGCAAAUCCCAUAAACCGUGGCUCAGUUCAGAUCGUAGGCUGCAACUCGCCUACGUGAAGGAGGAAUCGCUAGUAAUCGCAGGUCAGCAUACUGCGGUGAAUACGUUCCCGGGCCUUGUACACACCGCCCGUCACACCAUGGAAGUGGCCACGCCCG